rnacentral:sRNA from 1 species
GACCGCCGCUCUAUGAGCGCCCAAGGCCACACGGACAGCCGGGUCGAAUGCCGA